AACGCACAUUGCGCCCCUUGGUAUUCCGGGGGGCAUGCCUGUUCGAGCGUCAUUAUCACCCCUCAAGCCCAGCUUGUUGUUGGACGUCGGCGGGGCCUUCGUGCCCUGCCCGUCUCAAAGAUAAUGACGGCGUCUGUGAGGACUCCUGUACACUGAGCUUUCGGGCACGUACUAGGUCAGCUCUCCAGGCCCGGUCUUUUAAGUCGCUUCGGCGACGAACUUUUACAAGGUUGACCUCGGGUCAGGUAGGAAUACCCGCUGAACUUAA
rnacentral:misc_RNA from 1 species